GAUGAACGCUAGCGGCAGGCUUAACACAUGCAAGUCGAGGGGUAUAGUUCUUCGGAACUAGAGACCGGCGCACGGGUGCGUAACGCGUAUGCAAUCUACCUUUUGCAGAGGGGUAGCCCAGAGAAAUUUGGAUUAAUACCUCAUAGUAUGUGAGAAUGGCAUCAUUUUCACAUUAAAGUCACAACGGCAAAAGAUGAGCAUGCGUCCCAUUAGCUUUGUGGUAAGGUAACGGCUUACCAAGGCAACGAUGGGUAGGGGUCCUGAGAGGGAGAUCCCCCACACUGGUACUGAGACACGGACCAGACUCCUACGGGAGGCAGCAGUGAGGAAUAUUGGACAAUGGGCGCAAGCCUGAUCCAGCCAUGCCGCGUGCAGGAUGACGGUCCUAUGGAUUGUAAACUGCUUUUGUACAGGAAGAAACACUGGUUCGUGAACCAGCUUGACGGUACUGUAAGAAUAAGGAUCGGCUAACUCCGUGCCAGCCGCCGCCGUAAUAC
rnacentral:rRNA from 1 species